UUUUGAAUAGUUCAUCUGGUAGAACAAUCGACUAGGGAUCGAUAUGUAGUGGGUUCGAAUCCCACUUCAAAAACCG
rnacentral:tRNA from 1 species